CGGAAACGGUAGCUAAUACCCGAUACAUCCUUUUCCUGCAUGGGAGAAGGAGGAAAGACGGAGCAAUCUGUCGCUUGUGGAUGGGCCUGCGGCGCAUUAGCUAGUUGGUGGGGUAAAGGCC
rnacentral:rRNA from 1 species